AUUGCUUCUUUUCUUGGGGGACAUCGAUUGAAGAGUUUUGCUCAACGCCUGUCUGUUGGAACCCGAGGCGGAAUCCUUCUUCUCUGGGACGAAAAUUUUGUCAAAAUCCAAGAUGUGAACAUUGGUGCUUUCUUCCUCUCGGCCAAAGUCUCCCUCUCCUCGUCGGGUGAAUCCUUCAAGCUCAGAACCGUGUACGGCCCGACGAGAAGCAACCUCAAAGACGACUUCUUCCAAGAGUUGGUGAGUGAGAAGCGCCACCCUGGCGAAAGGUGGUUGGUUAAUGGUGAUUUUAAUAAAAUUUACCGAGCGAGAGACAAGAAUCGUGCAAACGUUGACCGAAGUCGCAUCGUUCGCUUCCGUAACGCCCUCAAUGCGUGCGAGCUAAAAGAGAUACAUCUUCAAAACAGGAAGUUCACAUAGAGUAACGAGCGAAACGACCCAACCUUAAGCAAGCUAGAUUCCUUUUUCUACAAUGAAGAAUGGGACCUACACUUCGGCACACACCUCCUACAUGCUCUCGCAUCGUCACUCUCAGACCAUUGCCAUCUCCUCCUCGCAAAUGACAAAGGACCGCCUAGGACCAAAUCAUUCCGCUUUGAAAACUUUUGGAUCAAGAUGCCCAGAUUCAAGGAGGUCGUCAACAGUGCAUGGAACCAAGAGGUGAACCAUGUAGAUCCUUACCACAUCCUCUUCCACAAGAUGAAGAAGACAAGUCAGGUGCUUAGGAAAUGGAGCAAGACAAUUUUUGCGCAUUCAAAGCUACAAAUACAAAUGGCUCUUGAGGUCAUCCUCCGUAUGGAUGUGGCCCAAGAAUGUCGUCCUUUGAGUGCAGAAGAGUUGGAUAUUCAUAGGAGACUCAAGCGCAAGGUGGUUAGCUUGUCCGUGCUCGCGCAAGCGUGGAAAAGGCAAUGCUCGAGAAUUACCAAUCUCAAAGAUGGAGAUGCCAACACUCGUUUCUUUCACCUCCGACUGAAUCAUAGAAGGCGCCAGAAUUCCAUACACCAUCUUAGGCAUAACAAUGGAUGGGUCACAGAGCAUGAGCAUAAAAAUCCAUCAUCCAAAACCAUCUCGCGGAGGUCACCAAGAGAGGGGCAUCCUGCAGCAUUAACAUCUAACCCCCGCUUGCGAUCUCUCUGA
rnacentral:rRNA from 1 species